rnacentral:rRNA from 1 species
UACGUAGGGGGCAAGCGUUGUCCGGAUUUACUGGGCGUAAAGAGCGCGUAGGCGGAAGCUUAAGUGUGGCCUGAAAGCCCCCGGCUCAACCGGGGAAGGUGGCUGCAAACUGGGCUUCUUGAGGGGGAUAGGGGAAAGUGGAAUUCCGGGUGUAGCGGUGAAAUGCGUAGAGAUCCGGAGGAACACCAGUGGCGAAGGCGGCUUCUGGGUCCGCCCUGACGCUGAGGCGCGAAAGCGUGGGGAGCGAACAGG